AAUGAACGCUGGCGGCGCGCCUAAUACAUGCAAGUCGAGCGAGAAGACGUAGCAAUACGUUUGUAAAGCGGCGAACGGGUGAGGAAUACAUGGGUAACCUACCCUCGAGUGGGGAAUAACUAGCCGAAAGGUUAGCUAAUACCGCGUACGCUUCUUGGACUUCGGUUCAGGGAGGAAAGCGAUGCCGAGGGUAUCGCGCUCUUGGAUGGGCUCAUGUCCUAUCAGCUUGNGGUGAGGUAACGGCUCACCAAGGCUUCGACGGGUAGCUGGUCUGAGAGGACGAUCAGCCACACUGGCACUGCGACACGGGCCAGACUCCUACGGAGGCAGCAGUAAGGAAUAUUGCGCAAUGGGCGAAAGCCUGACGCAGCGACGCCGCGUGGGGGAGU
rnacentral:rRNA from 1 species